rnacentral:rRNA from 1 species
GACGGAGGGUGCAAGCGUUAUCCGGAAUGAUUGGGCGUAAAGCGUCCGCAGGUGGCUAUGUAAGUCUGCUGUUAAAGAGCAAAGCUUAACUUUGUAAAAGCAGUGGAAACUACAUAGCUAGAGUGCGUUCGGGGCAGAGGGAAUUCCUGGUGUAGCGGUGAAAUGCGUAGAGAUCAGGAAGAACACCGGUGGCGAAGGCGCUCUGCUAGGCCGCAACUGACACUGAGGGACGAAAGCUAGGGGAGCGAAUGGG